GAUGAACGCUGGCGGCGUGCCUAAUACAUGCAAGUCGAGCGAACAGAUCAGGAGCUUGCUCCUUUGACGUUAGCGGCGGACGGGUGAGUAACACGUGGGAAACCUACCUAUAAGACUGGAAUAACUCCGGGAAACCGGGGCUAAUGCCGGAUAACAUGUUGAACCGCAUGGUUCUACAGUGAAAGGCGGCUUUGCUGUCACUUAUAGAUGGACCCGCGCCGUAUUAGCUAGUUGGUGAGGUAACGGCUCACCAAGGCAACGAGACGUAGCCGACCUGAGAGGGUGAUCGGCCACACUGGAACGGAGACACGGUCCAGACUCCUACGGGAGGCAGCAGUAGGGAAUCUUCCGCAAUGGGCGAAAGCCUGACGGAGCAACGCCGCGUGAGUGAUGAAGGUCUUCGGAUCGUAAAACUCUGUUAUUAGGGAAGAACAAAUGCGUAAGUAACUGUGCGCGUCUUGACGGUACCUAAUCAGAAAGCCACGGCUAACUACGUG
rnacentral:rRNA from 1 species